AUAAAAAGCGUGCCAUUAAUGGCGCGAAAUCAGGCGGUCUAGUCUUGGGAGGACGUGAUUUCCGGCGCGGUGCAAACCGCGGCCCCGGCAGAGUUCCGGUGUGAAAUCCAGGCGCGCGAAUUGUGAUGCAAGGCGAAAGCCUUGCAUUUUUUU
rnacentral:sRNA from 1 species